GCCUAUACGGGAGCAAUGAGCAAUGUGGACAGCUCGGCGGAGCAUCUUCAAACGGGUCGACAGCAAUGCUUCAUACUCCAGAUGGAAGCAAUUCUCAUCAGACAUCGUUUCCUUCGGAGUGAGCUUUUUCAUAAUUAUUUUUUGGAGAUUUAAUUAAUAUUGAAACAUUUUAAAGAAGAAGUUCAGCUUUUGUGUUUUCUGAUCAAUUUCUAUUAAUUUUCUACUUUUAUUUACAUUGAAAUUAUCAGAAAGACUUGACAUUUUAGCAUCUUAAAAUCCUUUUCAAAAAAUCAAAAAAAAUGCGCGAAAAUUUGAAUUUCAAAGUAAUUUCAAGCGAUUUUUUAAACAUUUUUAACGGAACUUUUCAAUUUUCAAUUAUUUCUCUAAAACUUUUAAACGAGAUUUUAUUCUUGAAUUUAAAAAAAUUAAAACCCUAUAAGACUCUCUCUUAUCUGAAAACUUAUCACUAUACUUAUUCCUGUACCAGUUGGUUUCAUUCGUAUAGGAACGCUUUUUCGUGCUUUCGCAACACAUAUACUCGCUCCUUGAUAAAAAAUUUUAAAGCAACCAGCUCUCUUAUCACUUGACAGCGGCCAGUGACAUUUUUGUGUUUUUGCCCCAGUUCUUCCAAAAAAAAAUAACUAGAAUGGUAUUGUUGGGGCCCAUGUUAGACUAUCAUUUUUCGAGUAUACGGUAGGUUUUUUUGAAAAUAAAAAAAAACAAUUUAGAAAUGCAAAAAUGUUUUUCUAACUUCUUCGAAAGUUUCAGAAUGUCCGAAUCGCCAGACGAUACCGUAUCGGGAAAAAAGACAACGACCAGACGGAACGCUUGGGGAAAUAUGUCAUAUGCUGAACUUAUCACUACAGCCAUUAUGGCUAGUCCAGAGAAACGGUUAACUCUUGCACAAGGUGAGCGUUUUGAGAAAAAUUUUAGUUUUUAGUUUAGAAAAAGGUGUUUUUACGAUUUAAAAAAAUCGAGAAGAAAUGGAGAAUUUUUGAAAAAUUAGCCUUAAAUUUUGGCCUUUUUUCCUUUUUACAAGAAAUUUAUAUUUUUUCUCUCAUAAAAUGUAAAUUCAUAAAUUUUUGAAUUUUAUAAACUUUCGAUUUUCAAUUUUCGGAAUUCUCAAAUAGUUCUGAAAAAAACAAUUUUUUUUGAAAUUUUUGCGGCAAAAAUACGAUACCCGGUCUCGAUGCGACAAUUUUUAUUAAAUGCGAAACAGUGUGCACUUUUAAACUACUGUAAUUUUUUUUUUCGAUAAAAAUUCACUUAUUUAUUGGAAAAAGAUAUGUACAUUUUUAAUAAAAACCAUGAAAAAUCAAUAAAAAUUCGUAAAGUUUUAAACUACAGUACUCUUUGAAGGCGCACACAUUUUAGAAUUUAACAAAACAAUUGUCGUGUCGAGACCUGGUAGUGUACUUUUGGCAUAAAAUUUAAUAUUAGAUUCGUCAAAUUUCAAAGUUCCAACCGCAUAGUACGAACACGAGAUGGCACGGUUUCUCUCGAUCUCUUCAAUUAUCACAGUCUAUCACAAUUUUUAAAUUUUUGCUGAACAUGCAAAUUUUUAGACAUUUGAUACUGAUAGUUUUUGGCAAUUGAAAUAAAAUUUCGUUUCUUUUUUCAGUUUACGAAUGGAUGGUCCAGAAUGUUCCAUACUUCAGGGAUAAGGGAGAUUCGAACAGUUCAGCUGGAUGGAAG
rnacentral:sRNA from 1 species